rnacentral:rRNA from 1 species
UACAGAGGGUGCGAGCGUUAAUCGGAAUUACUGGGCGUAAAGCGUGCGCAGGCGGUUGUGCAAGACCGAUGUGAAAUCCCCGGGCUUAACCUGGGAAUGGCAGUGAGGACUGGAUGGCUGGAGUGUGGCAGAGGGGGGUGGAAUUCCGACGUGUAGCGUGAAAUGCGUAGAGAUGUGGAGGAACACCGAUGGCGAAGGCAGCCCCCUGGGCUAACACUGACGCUCAGGCACGAAAGCGUGGGGAGCAAACAGG